ACCACACACCAUUCUCUCUCUCUUUCUCUUUCGGCCACGGGCGGCGGCUGCCGCCAGACGCGACUGCGCCGUCGCCGCGGCCUCCGGUUCCCCUUGCCAUUGCUGGUUCUGCCCCUCCUUCGCGGCCCCAAUCGAAAUCGACAAGAUCGCGCGGCACCAACGGAGAGGAAGGACAAGCCGCCGUCGGUGUCGUGUUUAUCUGCUCGUCGUCGGCCACGGACUUUCCAAGGUCUCGUGCCUCGAUUUGAUUUCCUACUACAUGAGGAAGUGUACAGCCGUGAUUGCUGCGUGUGUUUGCACAUUUCCAAUGGAUUGAUUGGCAACCCACUCUUGAAGACAAUUGCAAUCAAGAUCAUCCGUGCGUGUGGCAUGUUUUGUCUGAGACAAAGCCAAUUCCGUUGGCGCUGUAGCACAUGAAGGUUCGCCAUGGCAACUGGUGUUGUUAAAAAAUGUUCCGCCAGGGUAAGUGGCACCCCCCAUUGCCGCGCCUAUCAUGUACUCUCUUCGUUCCUAAAUAUAAGUCUUUUUAGACAUUUUAAAUAGACUACAACAU